rnacentral:rRNA from 1 species
GAUGAACGCUAGCGGCAGGCUUAAUACAUGCAAGUCGAGGGACAGCACAGGUAGCAAUACUGGGUGGUAACCGGCAAACGGGUGCGGAACACGUACACAACCUUCCUUUAAGUGGGGGAUAGCCCAGAGAAAUUUGGAUUAAUACCCCGUAAUAUGGUUGAAUGGCAUCAUUUGAUCAUUAUAGCUACGGCGCUUAAUGAUGGGUGUGCGGCUGAUUAGAUAGUUGGCGGGGUAACGGCCCACCAAGUCUACGAUCAGUAGCUGAUGUGAGAGCAUGAUCAGCCACACGGGCACUGAGACACGGGCCCGACUCCUACGGGAGGCAGCAGUGGGGAAUUUUGGACAAUGGGCGCAAGCCUGAUCCAGCCAUGCCGCGUGCGGGAAGAAGGCCUUCGGGUUGUAAACCGCUUUCGUCAGGGAAGAAAAGGCUCCUGUUAAUACCGGGGGCUCAUGACGGUACCUGAAGAAUAAGCACCGGCUAACUACGUGCCAGCCGCCGCCGUAAUAC